CAAACCUAUAAAAUGGCUUGGCUUUACUCCAGACUCAGGCUGAUAUUAAGUGUUUGCUUAUCAGCUCAUUUUCGUUCCCAGGCGGCCUAUGUUUAUGU
rnacentral:sRNA from 1 species